GCGGCAUGGUUGAGAACAAAUGGUUAGCAACGUGAGUGUCUGUGAUGUUGUGGAAACCUUGUUCAGGAUUCCGUAGUCUCUGUCAACGGUGGCCAAAGCUCCCCUAAACCAGUCCCAUUCGGAGGUCAUAGUGCGGCAAUGCGGGUGAGUGUGCUGCAAGUAUGUGAUCAACACCAAAUAUCCGUUAACUACCAUUAGAGGACCUCUGUAGAAGCAUAUAACCCAAGCAAGUCCCUUUGCAACAGCAAGAUGGUAAAGCCCAUAUAAGACAGCAAGAACACCAAUAUCGGACACAAAUAUCUGCAAUCGUUCGCGAUGAGAGAAUAUUGGGCCAUAUGAUAGUGGCACGGAAAUCCUUUGUAGGGCCUUCCGGAAAGGUUGAAUGCGAGAUACAGAGGCCAGCCUAGAGUGAGUUGGACGGCGAGUGUGAGGAAUCUGCCAGGUGGGUUGUUUAGAUAUUUUUCCCACCACCCUAUUGCAGAAUUUUGCUUGGGGACAAAGACUUCAUCCCACUUAAGGGAAGCUGUGUUGGAAUGGUGGCGGCGAUGGCUAUACUUCCAUCAUAAGUAUGGGACAAGAAGGCAAGAGUGGAGGAUCAAACCAAUAGUGUCAUCCAGCCAUUGGUAAUCACUGAAAGCAUGGUGACCAAACAAGAACAAAAGCUUCAAAAACUCUGACUUUAAAGUUUCACUUGAAUAUAUAACAUUUUUAUAUAAUAAUAAAUUGAUAAAAAAAAUCGUUUUUAGGGUGUUAUUACCAAAUAUCUCAUUGUACACUCCAAAUUUGUAUAUUUAGAAAGAAAGAAAUUUACAUUCCAUAAAGAGUGCACGAUGAGAUUUUAUCGUGCUAAUACAAGUAAAAUUUUAAUAUACAACAUUAUUAUAUAUAAAAAUUAAAUGACGAAAAUUUUUUAGGGCGUUUUUAAAUUUGGGCCCUGUGCGAUUGGACAUUUCACUCACCCAAAGCCACCUCUGAAUAUGCAAAUGCAAUUACCUUUGACAUAUAAAGAAUUUGCUACCAACUUAAUUAUAUGGCUUAGCUAGGAAGUAAUUAUAACUAAUUAGGGUUUAGGGUAAAAAUAGGAACCCUUGACAUAUAUAGAAUAUGCUACCAACUUAAUUAUAUGGCAUAGUUAGGAAGGAAUUAUAACUAAUUAGGGUUUAGGGUAAAAAUAGGAUAUAUAUAUAUAUAUAUAUAUAUAUAUAUAUUCAAGUUUGGAAUUUCCACAAUUUCUCAAUCAAAAGUUUCUUUGAGUUCACACUGUACCCAAAGAAAUAAAUAAUUGUAAACACUUUUCAUUUUAGAAUGUCAAGAAUGCAUGCAUACACCAAUAUCCUUUUCAUCAGUCAUUUUCAUAUUUGCUGACUCAAUCGUCAGUAAAUCAAUUGAAAGUUCCGGUGUAACUUUUGCAAUAAAACUUAUUUUUAAAUUAUAUUUGCAUCAUUACUUUGAAUUCAUUAUUUUCAUUAUGAAGAAUAUUUUCAUAACAAUUGAUUUUGAAUGGCAUAAAAUUCUUACUCACAGUCAAUUCAUUGAAUACCUCAAGUUCAAGGUAAAUACCGAUCAAUCAUUUGUUCAAUUCUUUCUAUUUGUUUAUAAUAGUUGGUUUCAUGGCAUUUUUAAUCUUGAUUAUCCUCCACAUCAAGUUCCACAUAAUUCAAUUAACAAUUCAUUUAACAGUUCAUUCAACCCUAAUCAUCAUUGCCCUUGGUAUAAUUUUCCUCAUCGUUAUUAUUAUUAGAAAUUCGCUCACAUCUCAAUAGUAUCCAAACACAAGCACUCCUUGGCAAUAAUGAUGAAGAACACAAUAGUUUUUCCUCCGACCAAGAGUCAGAAUCCAACAACUCUUACCAAAAAUUGGUAUCCAAGGUCAACACCUCCGGAUAUUCAAUUUGAAGAAAGAAACAUCCAAAAUCAAUUCUUAGUCUCAGCUAAAAAACUCUAUGAAUGGAACAUAGAUGGAUUAUCAGAACAAGAACUUUUGAAUAAAUUACAACACAUCUCCAUGGUUGCUAAUAGUUAUAUUAGCAAUCAUAACCUUAGUCAAACACAAGUUGUCGACAUUUUGGUCACUGAAUUUACUGGAAUGCUCCAUUCUUGGUGGGAAAAACAUCUCACUAAACAAUCCAGAAAUGAAAUUAAAAAUGCAGUCAAAAGAGAUGAAGAUGGAACACCCAUCUUUGAUGAGCAUAUAGGACGAGGAGUCCCAGAUGCAAUCAAUGUUGGAAAUUUGCCCUAAAACCAAUCAUAUGAUGAUACUUUACGGACAUUUCACAUGUUAAACUAAUAUAGUUUAAUUUAAAAAGCAAAUAUUAUUGUUUGAAGUCGUCUCAUAUAAAUGUUAUACGCUUAAACGAUAAGUCCAAGUAAUAUGUAAUUGAGAGAAUGCAAUCUAAAGAAGUUAGAUUCAUGAGAACAUUCUCUUUCGUAUACACAUCCUAAACGUUCCUGAUCAUAGGAUUGCUAAUUGGGCAUUGACAGUUCGUUAAGAUCAGUACGUGCUACGUCUUCUCUUAGGGAGAGUGACUGGUCUCGAGUCAUUGGUGUGACUGACACCAAGAUAAGUGCGUAGGUGCUCAAUAGAGAAUGAGUUCACUGAACGCGAUCAACAAGGAGUUCUAAUACUUAUGUCACAUGAGAACUCAUGGUUAGGAUAAUGCAAAGUAGUCAUUUGACCAGAGGCAUCAUAGUUGUCUUGUGGUUAGGUCAUUGAUCUUUGACUAUGUCAAAGUCACUCCAUCCGAGGGUGUCCACGACAUAGUUGGGGUUAAGCCACUUGGCCAUGAAGUCAAGUGAAUGCGCAACAAGGGAUCUCUAACCCUCAAACUGUUUGAGGUAGAAUACUCUAUGAUAUGAUUAAGAAUCACUGGCCAGAGUAUGAAUGACAUUUAGGAAGUCGUUCCAAAUAACAUUCAAGGUAAUCAUAUAAGUAAAUGAAUCACAUUGGAUAGUAGACAUGAAUAAACUAUCAAACCAAACAAUGUGGUCAAGAGUAUUGUAUUAGAGAAAGACCAUAUUACAUUGUAAUCAUAAACUGAAUAGGUUCUCCACCUCUUCUGAUUAGCUUGGGUAACCAUGACAUACUGCUAGGUGUCACUCAGGGUUUGUGGAAGCCCUAAACGUGUAUAAUCACUAAAGGGAGAAUUACUUUCAAUUCACAAUCGAUUUGAAAGAGUUAUAAUCGCUCACUGCCUCGCUAAAAGGAACCUAAUGGAUCGCACACCGUGUAAGGUAAUGCUUGAAGGAUUUGACAGAGAUGAGUAAGGACAAUUAAAUGGUUUAAUUGUUUAUGGCAAGAAUUAAUUAAUAUGUUAAUUAAUCAAACGAAUAAGUUCGUUUUAAACAUUGAGUUAGUUUUGGGCCUUAAAGCCCAAAUUGGGCUUCGAAUCGUCAAGCCCAUUAGCUGAAGUUGUAUGACAACUUAACAAGUAAAAUUCAAGAAGCCCAAAACAGCCCAAAGGCUUGGGAAAACCGGCCAUAGAGAGAGGUAGGGGUGGGCACGAUUUGGUUCAGUGCGGUUUUGAGUGAAACCAAAAUCGAAACCACAUUUUUUUGCGGUUUGGUUCGGUGCGGUUUUGAAGCCAAAACCGAAAUGAAACCAAACCGUUCGGUUCGGUUCGGUUCGGUGCGGUUUUAAACGGUUUCGGUUUGGUUUUUAAGAAAAAAUGUACAAUUUGCAAUUUAACAUAUUAAUAAGCAUUUCCCAGUAGCAAUAUGAAAAAGACAUUUGUUAUAUAAACAAUUAGCAUGUUGCAUGUAGUUGUGAUGUUAAAAUAUGUUUGUGCAACAAAAGGGUGUCCCGUACAAGGUAUAACAUAAAACAAGUUGAAUAACUUUGAAUUCAUUAAACAUGAGCAAAACUUUCAUACUAGAAUAUGUGAUAUCAUGCUUCAAAUGAGUGGACUUCAUUAGAUCAUUGUUCGACUCUUGAUAACAAGAUUAGUCCACCCUUGUACAUAUGUGUGUGUGUGUGUGUGAUGGUAUAAAAUAACAAAGGUCCUUCAAGUUAAUGAACGAAAGAAAAUGAUGAAUGAUGAUAUUUUAGUGUGGUUGUGUCCAUACUAAGUGUAUGGAUUCUAACAAACAACCAAUUAAAACAUGAAAUUUAAUAUGGACAUUUAAUUAAAUGUUUAUUAAUAUUUGCGGUGCAGUUCGGUUUCGGUGCGGUUUUCAAAAGCCAAAACUGAAACCAAACCGUUUUCUAUGUUGCGGUUCGGUUUCAAAACCGAAACCGUUCCAAAACCGCAAAACCAAACCGUUCGGUGCGGUUCGAUUUGGUUCGUGUUUCGGUUUCGGUUUUCGGUUCUAAGUGCCCACCCCUAGAGAAAGGAAGGGCCUUUUGGUCCAAAAUGCAUACAAAAGUUGAAAGCAUAGAAGGGGUAUCUUUUGCUCCAUCCUCAUUAGGGUUUUCUAAGGAUGAAAAGUGAGAAAAACUCUUUCUCUUUUCUCUCUAGAAUAGCCGGCCACCAUGGGAGAGUUUACUAGCAUCUAACUCUUCCAUGGCCACUCAUCUUCUUCCUCAACCAUCCUUCGUGUCAGAACUUAGAGGUCUCCAAUUUUGGGGACUUUUGGAGAAACCAAUUCUUCCAUCCAUAUCCAAGAAGGCAUGGAGCCAAGAAGCAAAGUUCCUCCAUCCACAUCCAUGGAGUCAAGGAGUAAGGUGACAAAGGAAAGAAGGCCCUCACAUGGGUGAUUAACCUUUGCUAAGCAAAUAGGUGCUUCAAAGGUAUAAAGUUUCUCAACUCACUUUGUUUUGAGUUGAGUCUUGGUUCACCCUUCUACUAGCCUUUGAAUUUCAUGGGUAAUGUUUUGUUUUUGAGUGCAUAUAAGCAUGAUUCAGCCUUUAAAUGUUAAUUGCAUGGCAUAGAUGUUGCUCAAAUGAACAUGUUUUUUCACAAAAUUUCCUUCAAUUAACACAUUACUUUUCACCAUUAGAACAUUUUCACCAUUAUAAUUUCACAUUACUCAUUAAGAAUUUCAUAGGGACACCCAGUAAUGUUACCUCUAGAAUUCAUGACCAACUUAGUAACUUAAGAUGUCCGACCCUAAGCAAUUUUAGAUGGUACAAAAAUGUUUUCAUGUCUAGAGUCGUGCUUAGAGAGGAUAGUAAUCAACCAUUUUGAAAAGAAAAAAUCAUUUAACGGAUUACCAAAUCUAUUUGCCCAUAAAAUUAGAAAUGUUUUAGUUAAUGAAGAAGGUAUCAUACCAUAUUAUACUCUUACUUAUGCAAAUAUUAUUAAUAUUAUCCAGAAAGAAGGAUUGAAAAUGUGUAUUGAUAUGAAAAUUACAAAACAAGUCAACAAAGAAAAGUCAAUAGCCAAAUAUGAAUUAGGAACAUUUUGUGCACAAUAUGGAUUAUCUCCUAUUGCUCCAUCCAACAAAAAGAAAAAAUCAAAAGCCUACAAUAGGUUCCCAAAUAAGUACUCAAGUAGGAGACAUCCCAAAUAUAAAAAUAAGAAUUUUGAAACAAAUAAAUUUUACAAGAAACCCAUGCCCAACAAGUGGAAGAGGAAAACCUCAGGAAAAUUCCACUCCAAAAACCAAGAACGAAAAGAAAAUUGCUACAAGUGUGGCAAAUUCGGUCAUUAUGCAAAUAAAUGUAGAGUCAAGAAAAUAAUCAACCAGUUGAAAAUCUCUGAGGAAGAGAAAACCCAGUUAAUCCAGGUCUUAGAAUUAAGAGACACAGACCAUAGUCAAUUCGAAGAUGAUUUAAGUUCUAAUUCAUCUUCUUCCAAUAAUUCCUCAAGUAGUCUUUCAUCCCCCAACAAUAAAAUAGGAUGCACUGAUACUUGUUGUAAAAAUAUUUCAGUCCUCAAUAAACAAGAAGAACAAGAAGAUCUUCUUAUUGAAUUAAUCAACAAAGUAGAUGACCCUGAAUUAAAGUCAUUUUAUUUAAAAAAACUUAAGAAAUUAGUCUUCCCUGAAGAAGCCAGUACUAGUCAAUCCCAAGAAGCCCCAAAAAUAUGUCUUAGCACAACCCUAGAAAGGUUUAAUAGGGCUAAGAAAGAAAUUACAGUCAAAGAUUUACAAAGAGAAAUCAAUAAAAUUAAGGAAGAAAUUAAGUCCUUAAAAUCAGAAAUAUAGAAAUUCGCUCACAUCUCAGAAGUAUCCAAACACAAGCACUCCUUGGCAAUAAUGAUGAAGAACACAAUAGUUCUUCCUCCGACCAAGAGUCAGAAUCCAAAUCCAUAGAAAACCCAACAUAACAUCUAAUUUUAGGAUUACUACAAAAGAUUAAGAUCCAGAAAUGGUAUUCUAAAAUAAAAAUAAUAAUGGAAGACUUACAGUUAGAAACAAUUGCCUUAAUUGACUCAGGUGCAGACUUGAAUUGUAUCUAAGAAGGUUUAAUUCCCACUAAGUAGUUUCAUAAAUCAACAGAAAUUCUUAGUGCUGCAAAUUAGUUACCGAUGCAAUUAAAAUAUGAAAUCCCAAAAGCCCAUGUUUGUCAAAACAAUGUUUGCUUUAAAACUCCAUUUGUUUUGAUAAAAAAUAUUUCAGACCCAGUCAUUCUAGGUCACCCCUUCAUAGCUCUCCUAUAUCCUUUUAAGGUACACCAUAAUCGUAUAACCACCAGAAUGUUAGGACAAAAAAAAUCACAUUUGAGUUCUACACGAAAACAGAUCUCAAAAAAUUAAGACAAUUACAAAAAGAUAGCAUCUCAAAAACCAUCAAUUUAGUUACCAAAAAAUCACAACAAAUUAAUAUCUUAAAAGAAGAAAUUAAUUACAAAAGAAUUGAAGAACAAUUAACAAACAAAUCUUUGUUAUAAAGCAUUGACAAUUUUCAAAAGAAACUUGUUAAUGAAAUUUGUUCGGAUAUUCCCGAUGCCCUUUGACACAGAAAACAACACAUUGUUAAACUUCCUUACAAUAAGGAAUUUAAUGAAAAUAAAAUACCAACAAAAGCCAGACGAAUCCAAAUGAGUCAAGAAGUUAUGGAAUUCUGCAAAAAAAAAAUCCAAGAACUUCUCAAUAAAGGAAUAUUAGAAAAAGCAAAUCACCCUGGUCUUGUCCUAGUUUUUCUGUCUAGAAAAAUGCUAAAUUAGAAAGAGGAACUCCCAGGUUAGUCAUUAGUUACAAACCUCUUAAUGAAUUCUUGGAAUGGAUACGGUAUCCAAUUCCCAACAAAAGAGAUUUAAUUAAGAGACUUAAUCAAGCUGUAAUUUCUCAAAAUUUGACAUGAAGUCUGGAUUUUGGAAAAUUUAAAUUCAUGAGGAUGAUAAAUACAAAACAGCAUUUGUCACUCCUUUUGGUCAUUAUGAAUGGAAUGUAAUGCCAUUCGGUCUUAAGAAGCACCCAGUGACUUUCAGAAUAUCAUGAACAAAAUAUUUAAUCAAUACAAUCAUUUUUCAAUUGUUUAUAUUGAUGAUGUUCUCAUUUAUUCCAAAUCGAUAGAUGAGUAUUGGAAACACUUAAACAUGUUUGUUAGGAUAAUUAAAUCGAGCAACAUUAGUCAAUCAAUAUGACUCUUAUUCAACCCCAACAUACCAGUAAUCAUCAUCCCAACUAGUCAGUUAUACCAAAACAUCAUCAUAUGUCAAGAAAAACCCCAGUGAAUAUCUUUUUAGUAUCCCUUUCAAUCUCAAUCAAGAACAAGUACCAAAAAAAUUAGCCAAAACAGUCUUUCCACCCAAUUUCCAUUAUCAUCCUACACAACCACAUAAAGCACUAAAAUACUAUCAAGUCAUCCUCAACGAAACUGAGUCCAUUUCAAUCAAACCUCUCUACAGCAAAACCCAUGAAAACAAAAUCCUCUACCAUUCUCUUUACAUUGGAAGGUUUUUAACUGAAUCAGAUUGGGGAAUCCCCAUUUACAAAACCAAACCUCUUCAUACCCAAUAUAUUCAUAUUCCCAACAACCAUUACAAUUAUUUUGAUUACAUUGAUGCAUGGACUAACAUCUUUCUCCAUAAAACAGAAGAUUUUAGUCAUUCAUGGUUCAUUAAUUUUGACAAGAGUUUCAGAUUGAAUUUUCCUGCAUGGUUUCCAAAUGGUGGUCAACUCACGACCUAACAGCCAGUCUCCUACCAGAAAAACUUAUGCAGGUUCUCUUUGCCAGUUUCCAACAAAAAUUUGACAGAAGCCGAUUCAACUACAGAAUUACACUUCUCCCAAUAUUCAUGGCCAAGUACAAAGUCUCAUGGAUCUUGAAGUGGAAUUAUGAAGUCGAAACAUGUGAAGUUUACAGAGCCAGAUCAGUCAAGUGGUGGGAUAAAUUCAACCAUCAGAAGACCAUCAAUCAGGUCAUCAUCGAAUUUCCUAUUACUCCACUCCCAAUCAUUCCGGCACAACCAACACAGCCAUCACUGCCAAUCAUUCCAAAACAAUCAUUAUCAGACAUUAGUCCAUCUUUGUCCCUCAAAGGAACGGUCAAAUCUACCAAAUCGUCAGGCUCAAAGAAAAAUAAAGUUACUCAACUUGAAGAUUUAGCACAACAAUUACUUGCAGAAGCAGCGAUGCUCAAUACUAAAGAAGAAGAAGUCGCAGACUCCGAAUCUUCAAACGCAGCCUCAUAGCAACCAUCCAACUCAGCAAGCCAAAAAAUACAGUCAGCUAAGUGGACCGACUACUAGGAUUCCCAGGACCCAUUUGAUUAAAAACCAUGUGAAAACAUCAGUCAUCAUGUCAAGUCACCAUGUGAACACAGUCAUUUGCCGUGUGAAGCAUUCAGAAAUUAUUCUCACCAAUGAUUCUGACAAAGUUUGGAGUCAUUCAUUCAUUCAUCCAUCCCAUGCUUCCACAAUAUUGGCAACAAAUAUUCUUCCACAGUAAAAGCAACAAUUAUUCCAACAAAUUUCACUGUUCAUAAAUAGUGAAAGCAAGUCAUCAUUCAAAGUCAUUAUUCAUCAAUAGUAAAAGUAAGUCUUCCAAGACCUUUUCCAAGUCUUUAAGAAGUGAACUACGGAUGAGAAGGUUUCAAGUUUGGAAUUUCCACAAUUUCUCAAUCAAAAGUUUCUUUGAGUUCACACUGUACCCAAAGAAACAAAAAAUUGUAAACAUUUUCAUUUUAGAAUGUCAAAGAUGCCUGCGUGCACCAAUAUCCUUUUCAUUAGUCAUUUUCUUAUUUGCUGAAUCAAUUGUAAGUUCCGGUGUAAGUUUUGCAAUAAAACUUAUUUUUAAAUUAUAUUUGCAUCAUUACUUUGAAUUCAUUAUUUUUAUUAUGAAGAAUAUUUUCAUAACAACUGAUUUUAAAUGGCAUAAAAUUCUUACUCAUAGUCAAUUCAUCAAAUACCUCAAGUUCAAGGUAAACACCGAUCAAUUAUUUGUUCAAUUCUUUCUAUUUGUUUAUAGUAGUUGGUUUCAUGGCAUUUUUAAUCGUGGUUAUCCUCCACAUCAAGUUCCAUAUAAUUCAAUUAACAAUUCAUUUAACAGUUCAUUCAACCCUAAUCAUCAUUGCCCUUGGUAUAUACAUACAUACAUACAUACAUAGGACUCAUUGAGAUUGAAAUUUGAUGUUAACAAUUUGAUUCAAUUUUAUAUUGGGAUACUUUUGAAGGAUAUUAUGUAGGCUUAGGGUUUUCUUGUAAGAAUUUGAUUCAUAAUUAGGUCUUUAUAUACACAGCUCUUGUAAUUCAGUAGAUGAAAAUGAAGUGUUGACAAUAUGCAGUUGUUUUAUUGUGCAUUCAUCUUAGCGAUCUGGAGUAUUCUUUGUUCUUUGAGAGCAAGUCAUUUGUUUUAGGAGGGCAAGGCAAGGCAAGGGCAAUAAAAUUGAUCUUACUAUUCACUCUGAAUAGUAAUUGCUCUUGUGCAAGUCCAUCCGCUUGUAAAGGACAAGGGCAAGCAGUAUUCACAAAUAAAUAUUUUUAAUUUUUUAUGGUUGUAAGUUUGUUCCAUAAAAAUAAAAUGAUUGUCUAAUUUCAAUAAUAUAUUUCAUAUACAAAGAAUGAAGAAGAUGGUUGGGUAUUUAUAGAAAAAAAAAAAUUGUAUAUUUUUGGGGGUUUUUUUUUAUAAUUUUUUUUUACAUUAGAAUAAUCAUGGUCGUUGAAUUUCAAAAUUAUUUACGUUGGAUGCUUCAGAUUAUGCCAUGUGGCUGCUACAGAAAAAUGUGAAUUUUUUUACCGUUAAAAAUCCAACAAUCCAAAUCAAAUUACCCUUUGAAAAUCUGACGACUCAACUUGGUGGGAAAAUGAGCGAUUUGGCUUUGGGCUUUGCACGUGGAUGGGCCCCACUCACUCAAUUAUUGUAGCCAACAGGGGCAAGCCCAGGUAGAAGUUGCUGGGUCAAGCCCAGGCAGAAGUUGCAGGGGCAAUGGAAAGGGCAUAAGCCUUUAGCCCAAUUCCCUUUAUUUUUUGCAUCCAGAAACCACCUUUUUGGGGGCUAAGGACAAUUCAACCCAGUUGCCCUAUCAAUUGGAUUACCAAUGGACUUGCUCUUAUGUAAAUAAUAAGAAUUAAGAUUGCAAUUAGUUUUCUCUUCUUUUCACUUUCUUGGAUUUGUUAACACACAAUUUGAAGAAAUAUGGAACAUUCAUGUCAAUAAACUACUCUCUGUCAUUUCAUAAUAGAAAAGAAAAACCUACUCUUUUAGCUAGUUCUUCACCAUUAGAGUACGUAAACACCUAUUUUUAAAAGGAUAAUGCUAAGGAGACUAAAUUUCUAAAAUAAAUUUGCAAACUAAAUGAUGUGUCACCAACAGAAAUGAACACGUUCAUCAAUGCUUGAGUAAUAAACCAAUUAUCAGCUUUCAUGUCCUUUAGUUUUCAAAAUUUAAUCUAUAAAUUUAGUAUCCAUAGCAUUACUCUUUUUAGAUAAAAGCCGCUUUAGACAACGUUUAAUGAUAAUAGGCCUAGAAUAGGACAAAGACUGAUUGGGCUACCCGAACUAACCCAUUUAAUUUGUUUUCUGUUUUUACUUGUUGGUUGAGUCUAAAAUUUUUUCGGUUUAUCUCAGAUGUACAAAGUCCACUUAUCCACAAUCUUAGCUUGUUUAUUCUUUUUUUGUCUCCUUUAUUAAAAGGAAGGAAUUGAACUCGUGACUUCGGAUGCAGAGAAUAAUCUGAAACAACUGGGUUACAAGCUCCUUGUACGUUUGUUCUAUGUGAACACAAAAAACUUGGAGAUCUUUUACUCGCUUGUUAAAAAAAUAUGAUAAAUCAUACAUUCAGCUUGCUAGAAUGUAGACCAAGAAGUCCUUAGCCACUUUCAAUGAAGUAGAAACGAUGAACAUAAUGGACAAAGUCUGUCUGUGGCUGAGCAGAAUCCUUGCGUUAUCGUUUCAGUGUUUCCUUAGCCUCCCAUCCUUCACGGAUUCAUGAUGGCAGAUAAUUUAGGAUCACAAAAAAUGCAAUGUGAGUUACUCAGCUGGUUAACGCAAUGUGUGUGUGUUCGCCUUUUCGGGCCAAGUCGAUCAACCAUUUCGAAUUCACAUCUUUAAGUAUGUUAUAAUAAAAGGUUUUUUUAUUCAUUAAGAUUAAGAAAACCUUAUAUUUUAGCGUUGCAAAGUUAGGUGUAUUUUUUUGUCCAAUACCAAACUGAAUAUCUUAAAUCGACAAAAAAACUCAUAUUCUCCAGGAAAAGAGACUCAUUUUUUUAUGGAAAAGGAUCCGGCGCCCAUAUGCUUUUCUUAGGGAUCCCGAGAAUCUCGUGAUCGUUCAUCGUAUAUUGUACGGUCAGUUUUCGUUAGGUACUAUUUAUAUUUAAUUUUAAAUGAUUUCUGACUGUAUGAUAUACGAUAAACAAUCAUGAUCACAAUGAUGGAACUCUAAGAAAAUGAUCCAGCAAGAAUCAUUUUCCCCUUUUUAUGGCCAAUAAAAAGCCACCGUGACAGCCUAAUGUACUUUGGAUUAGACAAGCAGGUUAUGUUUUGGCUUAGGCUUUUAGAUUAGGCACUUUGCACGCUUUCGGCUAACGAGAAAAGCCAUCCUUCACGGGCAGCCUAAUUUACUUUAGAUUAGGGAAAGCAGGUUAGUUUUGGAUUAGGCUUUCAGAUUAAGCACUAUGCACGCAUUGUGCUUAAGAGAAAAGCACAUAACAGAUAGCAUCCUCUUGUGUUUUAACUUCAACGACAAUUAGAGAAGCAAAAAUUAUUGAAAAAUCACUUAUAUUGAUAUAAGAUUAUUCUUGUACCAAACAACCAGGACAUCUUCAACAUAAGUUAAGGGAACCCCAGAUCCAUUACACGAACCUAAAACUCUCACUUGAAUACCUUUCAAAAUCAAAGCUUAUUAUUGUACCAGAAGACACCUUUCUCGUCACCCUCGUCAGGCUCGACGUAGAUACACUCCUUCACCUCCCUAAACAUUGCCUUGUAAACCGGAGUCCCGUCAAACUGAUAGUACUCGCCCAAGAUCGGCUUGAUCACCUUGGUCGCCUCCAUUGCGUGAUAGUGCGGCAUGGUUGAGAACAAAUGGUGAGCAACAUGAGUGUCUGUGAUGUUGUGGAAGACCUUGUUCAGGAUUCCGUAGUCUCUGUCAACGGUGGCCAAAGCUCCCCUGAACCAGUCCCAUUCGGAGGAAUCAUAGUGCGGCAAUGCAGGGUGAGUGUGCUGCAAGUAAGUGAUUAACACCAAAUAUCCGUUCACCACCAUUAGAGGACCUCCGUAGAAGCAUAUAACCCAAGCAAGCCCCUUGGCAACGGCAAGACGGUAAAGCCCAUAGAAGACAGCAAGAACACCAGCAUCAGACACAAAUAUCUGUAAUCGUUCGCGAUCAGAGAAGAUUGGGCCAUAUGGAUGAUAGUGGCAGGCAAAUCCUUUGUAGGGCCUUCCAG
rnacentral:lncRNA from 1 species